CAGCGUGUGGCCGGUGGGCGACAUCCACUGGCGUCAGGGCUGGGCGGCCAUCAUGACGCUGUUCUUUCAGAAGGGCCUCGCCAUCCUGGGCACGGCCAUCAGCGGUGAAGCCAUCAUGCCGCCAACACUCCAUUAUUUCAUAGAGAAGGAAUCAGGUGGAAUUCAGCCCUCGGCAGGAUGUAGAAGUGGCGGAAGGCCAAUAUAAAGAUGACGAAGACUCAA